rnacentral:rRNA from 1 species
UUGCACGCUGGCGGCAUGCUUUACACAUGCAGGUCGAACGGCAGCGCGGGCUUCGGCCUGGCGGCGAGUGGCGAACGGGUGAGUAAUGCAUCGGAACGUGCCCAGUAGUGGGGGAUAGCCCGGCGAAAGCCGGAUUAAUACCGCAUACGACCUGAGGGUGAAAGCGGGGGACCGAAAGGCCUCGCGCUAUUGGAGCGGCCGAUGUCGGAUUAGCUAGUUGGUGGGGUAAAGGCUUACCAAGGCGACGAUCCGUAGCUGGUCUGAGAGGACGACCAGCCACACUGGGACUGAGACACGGCCCAGACUCCUACGGGAGGCAGCAGUGGGGAAUUUUGGACAAUGGGGGCAACCCUGAUCCAGCCAUGCCGCGUGCGGGAAGAAGGCCUUCGGGUUGUAAACCGCUUUUGUUCGGGAAGAAAUCCUCUGGGCUAAUACCCCGGGGGGAUGACGGUACCGGAAGAAUAAGCACCGGCUAACUACGUG